rnacentral:rRNA from 1 species
CGCCCUGGAAACGGUGAUGCGGCGGGGGCUGCGCGCGUUCGCGAUAUACGCAAGUCAUAACGACUCUCGGCAACGGAUAUCUCGGCUCUCGCAUCGAUGAAGAACGUAGCGAAAUGCGAUACUUGGUGUGAAUUGCAGAAUCCCGUGAACCAUCGAGUCUUUGAACGCAAGUUGCGCCCGAAGCCAUCUGGCCGAGGGCACGUCUGCCUGGGCGUCACGCA